rnacentral:rRNA from 1 species
UACGUAGGGGGCUAGCGUUUUCCGGAAUCCUUGGGCGUAAAGCGCGUGUAGGCGGUCCGGUAAGUCCGCUGUGAAAGUCGGGGGCUCAACCCUCGGAUGCCGGUGGAUACUGUCGGGCUUGAGUACGGAAGAGGCGAGUGGAAUUCCUGGUGUAGCGGUGAAAUGCGCAGAUAUCAGGAGGAACACCAAUUGCGAAGGCAGCUCGCUGGGACGUUACUGACGCUGAGGCACGAAGGUCAGGGGAGCAAACGGG